UGCCAGCAGCCGCGGUAAUACGGAGGGGGUUAGCGUUGUUCGGAAUUACUGGGCGUAAAGCGUACGUAGGCGGAUUAAUAAGUUAGAGGUGAAAUCCCGGGGCUCAACCCCGGAACUGCCUUUAAAACUACUAGUCUAGAGUUCGAGAGAGGUGAGUGGAAUUCCAAGUGUAGAGGUGAAAUUCGUAGAUAUUUGGAGGAACACCAGUGGCAAAGGCGGCUUACUGGCUCGAUACUGACGCUGAGGUGCGAAAGUGUGGGGAGCAAACAGGAUUAGAUA
rnacentral:rRNA from 1 species